rnacentral:misc_RNA from 1 species
AGUAAAACUAUUCGAAUAGCCGUGCCCGCGGUUAUGGGCGAGUUGAGCAAUGUUUUUCGUGAUUAGUCCCACACCUCUCACCAUAAUUAUAGAUGUUAUAACUGGUAAUAAUUUGCUUAGCUCCUGGUUUGGAGUUAGAUCUGUUCAGCCGGGUAUGGUUGUUCAGAAUGGUUGGGCCU